GACGAACCGUGCGAACGUUGUCCGGAAUUAUUGGGCGUAAAGAGCGUGUAGGCGGCCCGACCAGUCCGCUGUGAAAGUCCAGGGCUCAACCCUGGAAUGCCGGUGGAUACUGUCGGGCUAGAGUCCGGAAUGGGCGAGUGGAAUUCCUGGUGUAGCGGUGAAAUGCGCAGAUAUCAGGAGGAACACCAAUGGCGAAGGCAGCUCGCUGGGACGUGACUGACGCUGAGACGCGAAAGCGUGGGGAGCAAACAGG
rnacentral:rRNA from 1 species